rnacentral:rRNA from 1 species
AUUGAACGCUGGCGGCAGGCUUAACACAUGCAAGCCGAGCGAAGAUGAGGUGCUUGCACCUUAUCUUAGCGGCGGACGGGUGAGUAAUGCUUAGGAAUCUGCCUAUUAGUGGGGGACAACAUUCCGAAAGGAAUGCUAAUACCGCAUACGUCCUACGGGAGAAAGCAGGGGAUCUUCGGACCUUGCGCUAAUAGAUGAGCCUAAGUCGGAUUAGCUAGUUGGUGGGGUAAAGGCCUACCAAGGCGACGAUCUGUAGCGGGUCUGAGAGGAUGAUCCGCCACACUGGGACUGAGACACGGCCCAGACUCCUACGGGAGGCAGCAGUGGGGAAUAUUGGACAAUGGGGGGAACCCUGAUCCAGCCAUGCCGCGUGUGUGAAGAAGGCCUUAUGGUUGUAAAGCACUUUAAGCGAGGAGGAGGCUACUGAGACUAAUACUCUUGGAUAGUGGACGUUACUCGCAGAAUAAGCACCGGCUAACUCUGUGCCAGCCGCCGCAGUAAUAC